ACGGAGGGUGCAAGCGUUGUUCGGAAUUAUUGGGCGUAAAGGGCGCGUAGGCGGUAAUGCAAGUCAGAUGUGAAAUACUCCGGCUCAACUGGGGAACUGCAUCUGAAACUGCAUAACUAGAGUACAGAAGAGGGAAACGGAAUUCCCGGUGUAGGGGUGAAAUUCGGUGAUACCUGGGGGACCACCCGUGGCGAAGGCGGAUCCCCGGGAUGAUUCUGACGGUGAGGAGCGAAAGUGUGGGGAGCAAACAG
rnacentral:rRNA from 1 species